CCAUAUGAUGUCAGCUCUACAUGUUUCAUAGAUGCUAUUCCUGAGGUUGAGGCAGUUUUCUUCCAUUCCUAGAUUGCUAAGAUUUCCACAUAUCAAUGAUGAAUAUUGUCAGAUGCCUUUUCUCUAUCUUUUAAGGGACGUGAGCCUCGAGCGGAUCGGCACCGAGUGACUGCCCAGCCUGGGCCUCCGGCAGCACCGCAGCUACGUCAUGGAGUGCCUUGUGGACACGCGGAUGCUGGACCACUUGACCAAGAAAGACCUUUGCGGACAGCUGAAAAUGGUUGAUAGUUUUCACAGAAACAGUUUGCAGUGUGGAAUUGUGUGCCUGUGAAGGUUGAAUUAUGACCGAAAAGAACUGGAAAGGAAAAGAGAAGAAAGCCAGAAUGAACUAGCACAGAAUGAAAGGCUAGUACAGUCCUAUUUCUCGGUUCCCAGUGUACAAGCCGCCUCAGAGGUUUCCUGUUGGAAAGAAAAACUCAGGACAUGCUUUCCGAGGAGAAAUCACACCUCGCAUCAUUACAGGGGAGGGGGUGGGAAGGAGUGUUUGAGAUCGGCCUCUGUGGCCAGAGAACUUGUGCUCUGCCCUCGGGCCCACAUCGCUCUGCAGCUUGUGUGUCUUGAGGGGAGAGCACUUCCCCACGACUCUGGAGAUCUCCCUGUGACUGUGCCAUGCGUCCUGUUCCACU